rnacentral:lncRNA from 1 species
AAUAUAUUCCAAAAACCACACUAAUAUGUCACAUUUAGAUACUUCUCUAGGCCUUAGGAAUGAUGUACUUUAAUAGGAAUCUGCUUCUCAAAAAUAAAACCUUUAGCAUCUGGUAAUGUAUAGAUUUUUUUCUGGGCCUUUAUUUUUCUUUCCCUGCCUUUGCUUUUUGAACAAUAAUUUUGUUUCUGUAAUGACCAUCAUCAGAAGGAAUGUGUCUACCACAUCAAGCAGUAUAAUCAUCGUUGCCACAUAAUUGAAACUUUGGCAAUCUCACAUUCUACAAAAGGCAUUGGUGGUGCUGGGAUGUAUUUUUCUGAUGCUAAUUGCAACACAAUUAUGUGGGCUUAGACUGGCUGGGGCUGAGGCUGGUUAGUAAAAGUAGGAUCGUGCAAAUAAGAGGGAAGGUUUAUUCUAUGUAUGUUUUGUGGCUAUACAUAUGUGACAGACUGGAGGAAUGAGCAGAAACAACACCAGCAGAUAUGCUGAGCCAGCAUAGAAAAGGCAAGGGCAGGUACAGGGAUAAAUAGGGUCUUGUUUUUAGCCACCUGGAAUGCUCGCAUUCCCUACUUCCAUCCCUUAGGUGGCCUUUAGCUGCCAAAGAGAAUAUGUACCCAUACCACAAAAAAUGAAUAUUUUAGAAUAGCAAUCUCCUUAUAUCUUUAUUGUACAGCAUGGAUGUAAAGUGUUUGUACCUAAAAUCUGGAGAGUCGAUGGAUUAAUUCAUAUUGUAUGCAUACGGGGAGAGGUUGCUCUUACUGGAAAUUGGAACAGUGAAAGAUGGCUUGUAUUUAUUCAAUUCACCCUGAAGUACCAUUUUAGUUAUCUUUCUCAAGACAUUUGUCUUUCAGGAUUUGGGCACCAAAAUUUAAAAGGCUGAAAUCAGAUUUUACAGAAAUUACAAAUUAAUGGAAACUAACAUGCAUCCUUUUUUCCAGGGAGUCUUCAAUGGAACCAAGUUUGGGAAGAAUAGAAUUGCUGGACAAUGUAUAAAUCCUGCUUUCCAUAGAGCGAAGGAAUUCAUGGCUGAAUUGAGGUGCCUUCCUGGCUUUCUUUUGGGACAUUCCUUGGACUCCCUGCGUGUGACACUUAGCUCAGACGCAAAUUACUAGAGAGGUUAUGACAAGCUUGGAGUCAGGGCCAAAAAUCCCUUUAAAGAAGUUCUAUAAUUAAAUCAUUCUCCUGAGCCCCUACUUAUCUCCAACCCCAUCACUGAGAAUUAGCUGUAUCCUGGCAUUUAUUGAAAUAUAGAAAUGUGUUAAUUAGAAGUAGACUCAGUGGAGACACGACUGCUCUCUAGAUAUCUGAAGAGCUGUCAUUUCUAAGAUGAACUUCUUCUUAUAUCUCCCUAAGGCAAAGUUAAGAAUUACGAGUAUACUUAACUGAAGGCCAACUGGGGGUUCGCUCUAAGGAAAGUAUUUCUAAUAACUAGAGCAGGCAGGCGGUAGAAUGGAAGAAAUAUGUGAGAGUUAUAUCACUCAAAUCACUUGAAGUGUCUCGGAAGAGGUUAGGUGACUGUCUGUAUGAGGUUCCUGCAUUAAGUUGAUGAUUAAAGAAGAUGACUUCCAAGAUUCUUUUCUUCUGUUUCUAAGAAUCUGUAAACUAAAAAAGAAUUCAGUGACCCUUUUUCAAAAUUUUGACUUGGAGAUACUUAAACCUAAGUAUUUUAAUCAGACUUUCAUUGAUCCAGCCAAUUGUCUACAUAUCUAUCUUAUCUGACUGGGUGUCAGACUCAAGGGUUUAUAACUGAUAGGUAUAUUUCUUGCUGUCGGCAAACUUGCUUCAG